GGAGAUGGAAGACACUGAGGAACUCAUACCUUUCUCGGCCUUUUGGCUAAGAUCAAGUGUAGUAUCUGUUCUUAUCAGUUUAAUAUCUGAUACGUGGGCCAUCGGUCCACAUGAUAUUAAAUUUAUUUUUCUAGGGGGAAGACCCACCGCAGUAGCUUGCUACUGGGGUCCUCUUGCGUCUGCCAUGCGUUGCACUACUGCACGGAACUGGCGCACCCCACCAAUUCAUUCCUAAGUAUUUAUUUUCCUUUCUUUUAUUCUAUUUUUUGUUCUUGGUCUUUCCAGAGGAAAUAGAGUAUUUCUUGUUUUUCUAUUUUCAAUUGAGAUAUCAGAGGAAGGGGAAUUUUGAUUGAAGAUCAACCGUGGUGUGGAGUAUAAAUAAGAAAAAUCAACAAGAUGGCUACGGAGUUGUUACUUCGAAGUGGCUACGGAGUCCCACAUCGCCUAAAUAAGAAAAAUCAAAGCAAAUAGAGGAUUAUAAAUUGAGUGAAAGAGGGAGGGUGGACCAUACUUACCUGGACGGGGUCGAUGGGUUAUCAAGAAGGCCCGUGGCCUAGGUUGGCGACCUCCAUUGCACUGAGGAGGGGUGCCCGCCUAACAUCUCCCCAAAGUGUGAGAGUGUACGUCAUGAUUUGUGUUAGCGGGGAUCAGUAGAAAAAGUUUUCGGUUGUAAUCCUUGAGUCAACUCUCAUCUUUGGUUGACUGGAGCGAGCAAGUUCUGCUAGAUCAUACUAAAAACCUUUUGUAUCAUUUUGUAGAUAUUAAACUAAUAUAUGUUCCUGGAAAUAUGUUAAUCCAGCUCAUGUAAUCGCUAAACUAGCUAGAAGGAAAAGAUCUUUUGUUUCUUUUGCCCAAACACCCUCCUUCCUUAUUUCUGCAUGAAUUUCUUUGUAAAAGGGGAUUGAUUAUGUAUCAUCCUUGAUGUUUUGAGUGGUUCGUUUUUUUAUAAGAAAUAACAAUCUCAUCUUUUUGUUGA